GACGAACGCUGGCGGCGUGCUUAACACAUGCAAGUCGAACGGAAAGGCCCUGCUUUUGUGGGGUGCUCGAGUGGCGAACGGGUGAGUAACACGUGAGUAACCUGCCCUUGACUUUGGGAUAACUUCAGGAAACUGGGGCUAAUACCGGAUAGGAGCUCCUGCUGCAUUGUGGGGGUUGGAAAGUUUCGGCGGUUGGGGAUGGACUCGCGGCUUAUCAGUUUGUUGGUGGGGUAGUGGCGUACCAAGGCUUUGACGGGUAGCCGGCCUGAGAGGGUGACCGGCCACAUUGGGACUGAGAUACGGCCCAGACUCCUACGGGAGGCAGCAGUGGGGAAUAUUGCACAAUGAGCGGAAGCCUGAUGCAGCAACGCCGCGUGCGGGAUGACGGCCUUCGGGUUGUAAACCGCUUUCGCCUGUGACGAAGCGUGAGUGACGGUAAUGGGUAAAGAAGCACCGGCUAACUACGUG
rnacentral:rRNA from 1 species